rnacentral:lncRNA from 1 species
CUCAGCCAUUGCAAAGUUGAAUGACUUUUUCAAGGUCAUGUAUACAGAGCUGGGAACUGGAAGCAGAUCUACUCCAGCACUCUCAAAGGAAAGAGGAAGGACAUGUGGAUAAAGCCAAGGAACGCCACUCAGCAGGAAAAGGAUUGGAUGAAAGAGGGAGAGGUGAAAUGAAAAGGAGAGGUGAUGUUCUGGGUCAUACCUCCUAAUGGCUUGUAC